GAAUAUGCGUCCUCGAAAUGACUCUUUUGACUCAUUUUAGCGUGAGUCUACCAAUUUGGAGUGUUCACCAACUGUGGAGUAAGUCUUGGUUAUGCCCAAAAAGGGCCUUCUCUCUUCAGUCAUUGUUUCAGCGGGCAUUCCAGUCAAACUAGACUGCUUUCAUUUGUUUUUCAGUGAACUAUACACUCAAGGACAGUAUAUCUAAAAAUCCCUGGAUCCAUUUCCAUAUUGGUGCACACGAAGGGUAAACUCGUGACAGCCUUUUUCCCUUUCACUUCCUGAUCGUUUGCAAUUGGUCAGGAGCAAGAGCUCAUUGGACGAAUCCCAAGUGAUGCGGCCAGCCUGAACCUCGGAGGAGUGUUAUAUGGAGGCAUGUGGCACGAGAGCAUCUUCCUAGUCUCUCGCUUGGAUGGGGAAAAAA